rnacentral:rRNA from 1 species
AUUGAACGCUGGCGGCACGCUUAACACAUGCAAGUCGAGCGGCAGCAUGUCUUUACUUCGGUAAAGAUGAUGGCGAACGGCGGACGGGUGAGUAACGCGUAGGAAUCUGCCCUGUAGCGGGGGAUAACGUUAGGAAACUGACGCUAAUACCGCAUACUAUUCUGAGGAAGAAAGAUGCCGCAAGGUGUCGCUAUGGGAGGAGCCUGCGUCAGAUUAGCUAGUUGGUGGGGUAAAGGCUCACCAAGGCGACGAUCUGUAGCUGUUCUGAGAGGAUGAUCAGCCACACUGGGACUGAGACACGGCCCAGACUCCUACGGGAGGCAGCAGUGGGGAAUAUUGGACAAUGGGGGCAACCCUGAUCCAGCGAUGCCGCGUGUGUGAAGAAGGCCUGCGGGUUGUAAAGCACUUUCAGUGGUGAGGAAAGGAUGGAGUUUAAGAGAUGCCAUCUGUGACGUUACCCACAGAAGAAGCACCGGCUAACUCUGUGCCAGCCGCCGCCGUAACAC